UCCUGCCAGCAAAUCCCACGUGCUGGUGGAUUCUCCCUCCUCUCCGGCAGGCCCUCGUCGGGCUGUGCCCAGGUGCUGUCCUGCCCCGGGCACAGCCCCGUCACCAGCCUGGCCUGGGCGCCCAGCGGCGAGCGGCUGCUCUCGGCGUCCCCCGUGGACACGGCCAUGCUGGUGUGGGACGUGUCCACUGAGACCUGUGUCCAGCUGCAGUGGUUUGGGGGUGGCGGUGUCACCUACUUGGCCUGGUCCCCCGAUGGCAGCAAGGUGCUGGCAGCCACCCCCUCGGCCGUGU